GUACCUCUCGAUUCCCCUUUCUUCCUCCGCCGGCUAGCCGUCGACUCCGGUGGAACGGCUCCUACUGGGCCUCGCCGGACGACGCUGCUCGGGCCGCGGCGUCAAGUUCCGCUCCGUGGCAUCCCCGGGCACCGGCCGCCUCCAAUCCAUGGAGGGCUUCCGCCACCGACAUCUCCUCAGUCAGUCCCUUUUCCUCCUCCUCAUCGUACGCGUCGUCUCCAAUUACCGCUCUGCUCACAUGCGGGUAAUUCCCUUGUGCUCUGAUUCGGAGCACCGAGCAGGAGGAGGACGACGGGGAGGUUUGGGAAACCAACCUGCUCACAAGGAGCCCCUGACGUCGCCUUCCGGGAGCGUGGAGUUGGGAGUGGACGACGAACAAGGGGAGAUGGAGGUAGUCUGUCCACCACGAGUAGACCGCCCACUACGAUCUCGCGCUCCAUGGAAAUGUCGACGCCUCACAAAAGAUCAAGGACAGCCGCAUCCCGCACCUCCUCCCUAGCAGCUUGGCCUAGGUCUUGCUGACGUCACUCUGAGUCAGUGACGCCAUGCUUGGAGUGGAUGGAGCUGGUUAUGGACAUGGACGAAGAUGCUUAAGGGGAGGAGGGGUGCGACCUGGACAUGCUUGUCCAGUCAAUUCUCGACUUCGAGGGAGACACCACCACGAAAGCACCCAUCAUGAAGGAGUACAACAAGGGCGAAUCCAACCACCGUUGAAGGGAUCACUGUUCUGCUACAAGGGUCCGGGUCGCUGCUCGCAGUGGUAUCGUGUUUGCGCGGAUCUCAAGGCUGGUCGGAGUCGUUGAACACCACCGUAACCUUGACACUACCGUUUAAGGCCUCGUCGACAUCGUCUUCCAAAGAUUCCCACACAAUUAGGGCAACUUGCUAGAUAUUUGAACAAGAUGCCAGAUGAUGAAGAAAAUCCUAUAGGUUGAAUCCUCACAAGGGAAGAAGGUGGAUCGUGAUCAUCGAUCGGAGCCAACUAUUAGGCAGCACAACUGAUCGCUGCUUCUCGUGCGAGCCUUUUGAGUUUAUCGUUGUAUGUAUCAAUGCGAGUGUUUGCUGGAUAAUCUCCCCGAAGUACCACCAGAAUCUGCAGAUCCACCGGUUCUUACUUGAACAGGAAGCUGCAUAUCGAGGCCCCAAGGAGGCCAUCACCCAGGACAUGACAGAGGCAAAUGGAAAGAACAUGAAAUACACUGAGACCGUCGAGCUCCAGAUCAGGCUCAAGAACUACAACCCGCAAAAGGGCUCUCUGAGCUGCCCAUGUCUCGUGCCCCAAGAUGAGCGUCUGCAUGCUUGGUGACACCCACCAUUGGAUUGCAGGCUUAGAAGACCGGUCUUAAUUCCAUGAAUUUUGAGGCUUUGAACAAGAACAAUCAGCGUGUCAAGAGGCUUGCCAAGAAGUAUCGCUCAACCGGAAGAGGAGAAGGUGCUGGCAACACAGCAUGAGAAAAAACUGGAUAACUAGAAGAACAUGUGCUCGAGAACAUCAUGCAAAACGGGAACAUCAAGAACCUCGCCCACAAUUACAUGGGAGAUGACUGAUGGGCCCCGAAGGUCAGCGCAUUCUUGUGGUUCCUGGGCAUUCAACUCAUCUACAUGGGAUGAUGUGGGUAUUGGAUGUUAGUAAUUUCAUGAGGAAAAUAAAUGUGCACCACUGAUGAUGAUAUUGCAGGGUGCAUCCUUAAGGCGAGGACGACUAACACAGAAAUCUUCUGUUAAGAAGAUGUGAUGCAAGAGCCAAAGAAGCCGAACUGGCCGAGGAAAGCCUGGAUUCUUCUUGCAAGCUGGCGUCCAAGGAAGUACAUGGGGAGCGGUGAGCGGCGGAUUACUGGCGAGACCCAUGAGGAGCAGCAGCGGGACGGUCACCACUGUCAUCCAAGAAGAGCUCCAAUUAGGCAUUACCCUUGACAAUAGGGAUUAUCGGAAACUCACAUGACUAUGGCUUAAUUUUCCAAGAUAUAUUUGCUCUAGGUACGAAGUCGCUGCACGAAGAAAUGGAAUGGCAACAGUUUUAGCAGGCCGUUGUUGAAGUUUCAACAUAUCAAUCUGUAUGUUUGAAUGAAAAACAAUGAUCGUGAAGUAUUGAUCUCUGAUUACUAAAUUGUCUUCUGAAGCCGCACUUGUGGAGAUCAACUUGAUGUUGUGUCCGUCAACAUGGCCACGAACAGUGGCGUCAACGUCAAGGAAGGAAAGUGCGGUUGCAGGGAGUAGAGCUACCCGGACUAGUAGUACUGUAGAUGUUUCAUUUUCCUCGUACAUGUAAUAAUAUCUUAUCUUAGCUUGACAUCCCGGUUUUGUUAUGCCAGUCGAGUUGAAUUGUAUGCUCGAAUGUGAGUUCUGUAUGCACUCAUAUUUUUUAUUUUCUAUUUGAUCUGAACGUCUCUAAAAGUGGAAA